rnacentral:lncRNA from 12 species
AUGCACCAGGAGCCCGACGCGGGAUUCGAUCCCGGGUCUCCAGGAUCGCGCCCUGGGCCAAAGGCAGGCGCCAAACCGCUGCGCCACCCAGGGAUCCUGCUUUGGAGGUAUUUUGAUGUGGGAAGAGUCACUACAAUAAAUUCAGGAUUGAGAGGGAGCCCUGCGAUGCUGCUUCCGCCACGGGGUGUGAGGACACAUGUUUUAGCCUUCCCCAGAUGUUGUCAGGAGGAGCAAGACUGCACUGCCCACAGUGCAUGGGUGGCCCCACCUCUCCUGGCUCUGGAAGUCUACUGUCCAAGUUCUUCCAUCCAGGUCCCUUUUUGAACUCUUAUGCUGGGCAGAAGAAGAGGAGCUAGCGCUUGCCCUGUCAGUUGCCUGCGGCUCAGCACUUCCAGGGCCUGGGUGGUUGCUGUCUCUCGCUGUCCAUCACCAAGGGAGCUGGUGACCCUAUGAUGAUCCCAUUGUGUGCUGGGCUGGCUGCCAGGCACUCGCUCUGCACAGGACCGUGCCAUGUCCCUGUUUUCCUGGAAUUCAAGGAGUAAGAAUAAAACCAACUUCUUAUUCA